rnacentral:rRNA from 1 species
GAUGAACGCUGGCGGCGUGCCUAAUACAUGCAAGUCGAGCGAAUGGAUUAAGAGCUUGCUCUUAUGAAGUUAGCGGCGGACGGGUGAGUAACACGUGGGUAACCUGCCCAUAAGACUGGGAUAACUCCGGGAAACCGGGGCUAAUACCGGAUAACAUUUUGAACCGCAUGGUUCGAAAUUGAAAGGCGGCUUCGGCUGUCACUUAUGGAUGGACCCGCGUCGCAUUAGCUCGUUGGGGAGGUAACGGCUCACCAAGGCAACGAUGCGUAGCCGACCUGAGAGGGUGAUCGGCCACACUGGGACUGAGACACGGCCCAGACUCCUACGGGAGGCAGCAGUAGGGAAUCUUCCGAAAUGGACGAAAGUCUGACGGAGCAACGCCGCGUGAGUGAUGAAGGCUUUCGGGUCGUAAAACUCUGUUGUUAGGGAAGAAUAAGUGCUAGUUGAAUAAGCUGGCACCUUGACGGUACCUAACCAGAAAGCCACGGCUAACUACGUGCCAGCCGCCGCCGUAA